GGCGGCAUGCUUUACACAUGCAAGUCGAACGGCAGCGCGGGGCAACCUGGCGGCGAGUGGCGAACGGGUGAGUAAUAUAUCGGAACGUACCCAGAAGUGGGGGAUAACGUAGCGAAAGUUACGCUAAUACCGCAUACGAUCUACGGAUGAAAGUAGGGGACCGCAAGGCCUUAUGCUUUUGGAGCGGCCGAUAUCUGAUUAGCUAGUUGGUGAGGUAAAGGCUCACCAAGGCGACGAUCAGUAGCUGGUCUGAGAGGACGACCAGCCACACUGGAACUGAGACACGGUCCAGACUCCUACGGGAGGCAGCAGUGGGGAAUUUUGGACAAUGGGCGCAAGCCUGAUCCAGCAAUGCCGCGUGAGUGAAGAAGGCCUUCGGGUUGUAAAGCUCUUUUGUCAGGGAAGAAACGGUAGAGGCUAAUAUCCUUUGCUAAUGACGGUACCUGAAGAAUAAGCACCGGCUAACUACGUGCCAGCAGCCGCGGUAAUACGUAGGGUGCAAGCGUUAAUCGGAAUUACUGGGCGUAAAGCGUGCGCAGGCGGUUUUGUAAGUCUGUCGUGAAAGCCCCGGGCUCAACCUGGGAAUUGCGAUGGAGACUGCAAGGCUUGAAUCUGGCAGAGGGGGGUAGAAUUCCACGUGUAGCAGUGAAAUGCGUAGAGAUGUGGAGGAACACCGAUGGCGAAGGCAGCCCCCUGGGUCAAGAUUGACGCUCAUGCACGAAAGCGUGGGGAGCAAACAGGAUUAGAUACCCUGGUAGUCCACGCCCUAAACGAUGUCUACUAGUUGUCGGGUUUUAAUUAACUUGGUAACGCAGCUAACC
rnacentral:rRNA from 1 species